rnacentral:tRNA from 1 species
AUUUAUGUAGUAUAGAAAUUAUUUUUGAUUUCCAAUCAAAAGACCUAAUAUUAAUUAGUAUAAAUA